rnacentral:rRNA from 1 species
GUACACUCCUGCGGGAGGCAGCAGUGGGGAAUUUUGGACAAUGGGCGAAAGCCUGAUCCAGCAAUGCCGCGUGUGUGAAGAAGGCCUUCGGGUUGUAAAGCACUUUUGUCCGGAAAGAAAUCCUUGGCUCUAAUACAGUCGGGGGAUGACGGUACCGGAAGAAUAAGCACCGGCUAACUACGUGCCAGCAGCCGCGGUAAUACGUAGGGUGCGAGCGUUAAUCGGAAUUACUGGGCGUAAAGCGUGCGCAGGCGGUUUGCUAAGACCGAUGUGAAAUCCCCGGGCUCAACCUGGGAACUGCAUUGGUGACUGGCAGGCUAGAGUAUGGCAGAGGGGGGUAGAAUUCCACGUGUAGCAGUGAAAUGCGUAGAGAUGUGGAGGAAUACCGAUGGCGAAGGCAGCCCCCUGGGCCAAUACUGACGCUCAUGCACGAAAGCGUGGGGAGCAAACAGGAUUAGAUACCCCAGUAGUCCCAUGA